AACUUGUCAUUUGUACUUUGUGAUGCAGUCUCGUCCAAAAACGUAUAUGUUUAUUAGGUCCUGCUUCAAGGAGUACUUCAUACACAAAUUUCGGACCAUGUUGGGAUUGGGAAAGAAUCGUGUCAUCUUUCCCCAGGAAAAGGCUAUACAAUCAUGGGGAAGACUCCUGAUCUGACAGUUUGUCAAGAAAACAAUCAUUGACAACCUUCAAAAGGAGGACCCACGAUAAAGCCAGCAUCCAGAGACUGACAGAGAGUUUCGUCACCAAUCUACAGGCAGCCCUCCACUGUUAGCACUAUCUACAGAUAACUGAUCUGAAAGCAGCGCCUCUGAACCUGGAUUCAGUUGAUGAACUCUCAAAGUCCAACUGCUGAAGCUGCCUCCAAGUGCCUGCUGUGUCUCUGUGCUCUCGACACGAAAGCAGGUAGAUUAUACACCUAACAAAGUUCCUGUUUAUGUCACAUGUUGACAUCGUCAGGGUUUGAUUUGCAGUUGAGAUUGAUUUAUAAAGGUUUUUUUUAUUUUUUUUAUUUGAGCAUUUUUCCUUAAGAUAUCAGUUUUGUUAUAUUGCAUCCACUGAUAAAUGAAUCGCACAGACUCAUAGAGUCACAUAGUGGAAAUCAGAUCUGUUAGAGAAGCCGUAAUGGACCCAUAGAUUAACGUAGUGAAAGCAAAUUCCAUCUCAAAGACCUAACUUUACAUUAAUGAAAUAAAGUGCCUUGGAUGAGUGCAUGUUGGAAAUAAUUUUUGCCUAUGCUCAUUAGUCUCAUAAACUGCCAUCUGAUGUCAUUUACUGGCACUGUGGCACAUACAAGCACUGUGGAAAUAAAUGCAUCUCCUCAAGUGCAUAGAAAAUUCAUGGGGCAAAAUACACAUUAAUACACAAUAGAUGCAUUUAAAAACUUAAAGUUUGAUGAGAUGUGGGUGUCAUUUGCUGCCAGAUUCCCCCAGUAGGCUUUUAGUGUCUUCAGUUAUGUCCUGUACUGACGUGGGCAAACAUUCAGUCAAAUCUGAGUCACUGUGCAAUUAUUAAAAAAAAAUAAUAAUAAUAAUAUGAAUUGCUCAUUACAGUUUGUCUGUGAUGGGUUGUCCAGAAAACUCAAGUGAUUGCACUACAGAAUGAGUUUUAUGUAAGUGUGUAGAAAUUCAUGGUGUAAAA